rnacentral:rRNA from 1 species
UACGUAGGGUGCGAGCGUUGUCCGGAAUUAUUGGGCGUAAAGGGCUCGUAGGCGGUUUGUCGCGUCGGGAGUGAAAACACUGGGCUUAACUCAGUGCUUGCUUCCGAUACGGGCAGACUAGAGGUAUUCAGGGGAGAACGGAAUUCCUGGUGUAGCGGUGAAAUGCGCAGAUAUCAGGAGGAACACCGGUGGCGAAGGCGGUUCUCUGGGAAGGUCCUGACGCUGAGGAGCGAAAGUGUGGGGAGCGAACAGG